rnacentral:rRNA from 1 species
AUAAUUAUUAAGCGUACAGAGACGUAUUUCGGCUUGUCGCGUGUGAAAUGCAAUCCCUCGACUCAACCUCGGGUGUGCAGAGGGGACGGGCAGACUAGAGUGCGGUAGGAUAGAUUUGAAUUCCUGGUGUAGCGGUGCAUGCGCAGAUAUCAGGAGGAACAUCGCUAGCGAAGACAGAUCUGCGGGCCGUGACUGACGCUGAGGAGAGAAAGGGUGGCGAGCAAACAGGCUUAGAUACCCUGGUAGUCCACCCCGUAAACGUUGGGAACUAGUUGUGGGGUCCAUUCCACGGAUUCCGUGACGCAGCUAACGCAUUAAGUUCCCCGCCUGGGGAGUACGGCCGCAAGGCUAAAACUCAAAGGAAUUGACGGGGACCCGCACAAGCGGCGGAGCAUGCGGAUUAAUUCGAUGCAACGCGAAGAACCUUACCAAGGCUUGACAUAUACGAGAACGGGCCAGAAAUGGUCAACUCUUUGGACACUCGUAAACAGGUGGUGCAUGGUUGUCGUCAGCUCGUGUCGUGAGAUGUUGGGUUAAGUCCCGCAACGAGCGCAACCCUCGUUCUAUGUUGCCAGCACGUAAUGGUGGGAACUCAUGGGAUACUGCCGGGGUCAACUCGGA